UUGUUUUAGCAACACAUGUACUAAAAUUGGAACCAUACAGAGAGAAGAUUCGCGUGGCCCCUGCACAAGGAUGACACACAAAUUCAUGAAGCAUUCCAUAUUAAA
ensembl:snRNA U6 U6 spliceosomal RNA